CGAGGCCAGUCAGGAAGGGUAGGUGAGAGUUGCCAGAGACCAGGGGCCUGGAGGAGUCCUAGCAGAAAGUGAUUCCUAGAAGAAGGCUGCAGAGCAGCAAGUGGGGUUUGCUGGUUAGCAUCCCCAAGCUAGGUCUUGAGAGGGUGGAAGACAGCAGAGGGAAUUCCUUGCUGGCUCUGAGCUGAGGGCUGAAGACAAGGGAGUAAUGGAGUAGCUUACCUGCUGACUUCUCAGAAACCGAGACUUUCUGUUCCAACCUGUGAUGGGGCAUCUGCCCAACAAAAGGAGCAAAAAGCAUUAACCUUAACAGGCAGCAGUCGAGGUUGUAUGUGGCAGAACACAAAUUAACCAGAUACUGAGUGAAGUGGAAGGCAUGCUUUAUUUUCAUCAGAUCAACCUGUUUUUAUCUGUUUAAAAUAUGUUUUUAUGUUUAAAUUGUAACCCACAAUUCUAAGCAUC